CUACUACUCCCUCCGUCCGAAAAUACUUGUCAUUGAAAUGGAUGUAUCUAGAUAUAUUUUAGUUCUAGACACAUCCAUUUUGAUGACAAGUAAUUCCGCACGGAGGGAGUAUUAU
rnacentral:pre_miRNA from 1 species